CGAGUAGCUGGGAUUACAAACAUGCGCCACCACGCCCAGCUAAUUUUUGUAUUUUUUAGUAGAGACGGGGGUUUCUCCAUUUUGGUCAGGCUGGUCUCGAACUCCCGACCUCAGGUGAUCCGCCCACCUCAGCCUCCCAAAGUGCUGGGAUUACAGGCGUGAGCCACCGUGCCCGGCUUACGUCAUUUAUUUAAUUUUGAAAGUGCAUGGAGUGUCCUGUUUACUAAACGAUGUGCUUAAACAUCUCACAAACUUCCUGCGAGUUGACGCGUUGGUUCCUGUCCUCCAGUAGAAGCUGGCUCCAGCACACCCCUGCUGACAGCACUCUACAGUUUCCAUCUGAAUUCUGCUGCUCGCGGAAGAGUCAGGGAUGGAAUGCAGGGGCUGCAAGAGGAGGAGGGGAAGGAAGGACCGUCUUGAGGUUUGGGCAGCUCUGCUGAAAACAGGAGUGAAGAUUUGGGUAAGCUUGAUGUGCAAACACCUCUCUGACACGAUGUCAUAAGGAGCAUGUGUUGCCACUAUCCCAAGCGUUUCCACACGCACGGAUUCAUUUCCUUUUUCCAGCCGCCCUGUGGGGUGGGACGCGUGGCGUCAUUGUCUGCAUCAGAAGUGGAAAGAGACUCAGAGAAGUGAGGCGGCUCGUCUGGGGUCACGUGGGAGGAAGCAAUGCGCAAGGACCCUGCGGGAAGGCUUUCCCCCCUCUUUGCACGUGGGUCUUAUUAUUAUUAAUGUUAUUUUUAGUUUAUGAUUUGUUGUAUGAUUUUUAAUUUCAUGAUAUUUAUUUUUUAUUUUAUGGUAUGUGCCUAUGAACACCCACCUAGGACAUGUAGGGAAUAGGAGGUAGCGUGUACUAUCAGCAUUUAAAACACUGGAAAUGGGUCUAGAAGAAGGUUGGCAUAUUCUGCAGUCCAGCAUCCUGGCUGGACGCCGAGCUCCGGAGCCACGGACCGUGGCCUCAAACUCAGCCGAGGUGUUGCCUGUGUUCCUAAGCCAUCCAUUUCGCCAUUACCUUCUUACAAUUUCUGGAAACUUCCCCGCUGGCCUCCCAGAAUGCACACACAGUAACUCUAAGAAUAAAACGAGCACAUCCACGUGGCUCAAACAGCGGCUGGGCACUCAGUCAAUGCCGAAACCACUUAGUGCUGAGGUUUUAAAGUCUUACUUUCACUAAUACAUUUCUAUUGGCAGAGAACAAACAAGAUCCCCAUUCUCCUGGCAUCCGUACGAGCUGGUCACAGAGCAUUUUGCUUUGCAACAAAAGACGUUCUUGUUUCAGUCCAGACACACUUGGGACAGGUAAUGCUUUGAAAGGUACUUAUUGCUUUUUUCAACAAACGUUUAUUAAGUACCUACUUGUGCCAAGCUGAAGUUUUGAGUCCCCACCCUCCAAGUCUGGUUUUGGGGACUUCCUCUUUUCAUUCCUCAACCCCCUCGCCUUCCGCACCCUGCUGCGGUUUCCCUGGUGACAGCCCGAGCCCGCCUCAGUGGUCCCACCAGGUAGGUGCUCCCUAGGGGAGGACAGGGUGGACGGAUGGCAGAGGAGGAUUGAGAGGCCAGGCCUGCUGUGCCUCAGCCGGGGACACAGGUGCCUCUUCCGGGCACACUAAAGCACGUCCUGAGCCAAGGUCUGCAGAACUACAGUUGCGCACGCCUCUGCAAACGGUUGGCGGUCACAGUGCCCUCUGAGUGGUACUGAAAUCAGUAUUAUCUGCUCUCUCCACCCGCCCACUCCAUGUAUUGCUGGAGUCCUUGCCUUCUGCCAGGAACGGUUCAAGGUACGCAGAACGCAAUGAUCGUCAAACGCAAGCCAGCUCUGUCCUUGUUAUGGGCUGAAUCGUGUCCUACUCCCUCAAAAGAAAUCCAUAUGUUGAAGCCCUGACCCUCAGUAUCUCAGGAUGAGAUUGUAUUUGGGGCUGGAUUUUUAAAGAGGUGAUUACCUUAAAAUGAGGAUUUAAGUGUGGGCCCUCUUUCAACGGGUGUGUGUCCUUAUAAGAAGAGGAGAUUAGGACACAGACACACACAGAGGGACGACCCCGUGCACGAGCCAAGGAGGCCUCAGGGGAAACCAACACUGCUACACCUUGACCUUGAACUUCCAGCCUCCAGAACUCUGAGAAAACAAAUCCGUGCUGUUGAAGCCUCUCAGCAUGCAGUGCUUUGCUAUGUCAGCCCCUGGAAAAUUCAUACAGCCCAUGUUCCCAUGGGAGUCUUGUGGGACAGAGAUCUUGAUUAAAGAAAAAAAAAAGGGCUGGGUGCAGUGGCUCAUGCCUGUAAUCCCAGCACUUGGGAGGCCGAGGCCAGCAGAUCACUUGAGGUUGGUGGAUCACCUGAGGUCGGGAGUUCGAGACCAGCCUGACCAACAUGGAGAAACCCCUAUCUCUACUAAAAAAAUACAAAAUGAGCCGGGCGUGGUGGUGCAUGCCUGUAAUCCCAGCUACUCGGGAGGCUGAGGCAGGAGAAUCCCUUGAACCUGGGAGGCAGAGGUUGCAGUGAGCCGAGAUCAUGCCACUGCACUCCAGCUGGGGCAACAAGAGAGAAACUCCAUCUCAAAAAAAAAAAAAAAUCUCUAGUACAGUCAGUAAACACACAUAGCGCCUACCGGGCUCCAAACAAUCGCUCCAGCUCCAGUCCCCGACCCUCCCCACGUAACCCUGCUCCCCAGAGGCACCAGCCUUCGCCCAGUCCUUUGGAUGUGCACGCUCGUUCCCACCUCUGAACCUUGGCAGUUUGCCGUUUCCCUCCCCUGUCUCGCUCUCUCUGGAUUUUCCCAGGCCUGGAUUCUUCCUGAUAGGUCAUUCUUGAUAGUCAAAGGUUUGCUGAAAUGUCACCUUCUUAGAGAAAUUCUCCCCACCUCUCCCACAACCACUAUCAUGUCAGCUUGCUUUACAUGUCAAAUGGUGUGUAGUGAGUGACUGCUAUUAGCAAUGACUCUGAUUGAUUUUUGUUCUGGUCGGCUUCUCAUCUGCUGGAAUAGAAGCCCCAUGAGGGCAGGAAUACGUGUCUUUACCCACGUAUUCCCAGUGCCUAGCAAGGUAAAUAUCAAUGGCAUGAAUGAAUGAAUGAAUGAAGAGCUUCUCAGAGCACUCUGAGUCUCUGUUGUCACAGGUAGGUCUCUGAAUUCUACUAAGCUCAUUGCAGGGGAAAUUCAGAGCUUUCUUGAAUCAGGGAGGACUUGGACCACCUCCUUCUCACGCCCCUCUACACACUCACCUGGGCAGGGCAGGUGUGGGCCGGGGUUCCCUCCCUGUGGUCAGGUUGGACUGUACCACCUCUGGGUGUCCUGAGAAUUCCUCCCCACUCUCUUUUGGCCACAUAGCAGCAGGAAACCUCUGUUGGGGAAGGAGCGGUGUGGUUUCUGCUCAUAGUUCCAGGGUUCAGUGGGUAGGGGUGGGGGUUGAUGGGGACAUGUCUAGCCUGAAUCUUUCCUGCUCCAUCCUACGGGAGGGCCUGAGAUCUUCAAUGCGAUGCAAAGGAACAAUGCAGACAGGGAGAGGAGCAGAUGGGGCAGGGGAGGGAUACAGCCCAGCAGGGUCUUCCAACUUGUACAGGAAGCUUAUAAACUGAGGUGGUAUUUUUUUGUUUUUUUGUUUUUUUGACAUGGAGUCUCGCUGUCAUCCAGGUUGAAGUGCAGAGGCAUGAUCUCAGUUCACCACAACCUCCACCUUCUGGGUUCAAGCAAUUCUCCUGCCUCAAACUCCCCAGUAGAUGGGAUUACAGGCACGCACUACCACACCCGGCUCAUUUUUGUAUUUUUAGUAGAGACGGGGUUUCAACGUGUUGGUCAGGCUGGUCUCGAACUCCUGACCUAAAGUGACCUGCCCGCCUUGGCCUCCCAAAGUGCUAGGAUUACAGGCGUGAGCCACUGUGCCCAUCCUGAUGUAGUAUUUUUAGUCCGAGAAAAACACAAUUUUCUAGCAUAAAUUUUCUUUUAAUCUUGAACAAUUGCUCAUAAAGACACAUCCUGAGGGCACACUGACCUCCAGAUUCAUCCAAUGUCUCCAUGGCUGUAAAUCUUGACAUUUUCAACUAAAAACAAGCAAACCUGAUUUUUCCUAAGUGUUUCCAGCUAAAAGAUGUCAAUUGCUACAAUUUAGUUUCCAGAUGAUCUGUCAUUUUGAACAAACUUUAAACUUUAAUAUUGCACUACAUUCUUAAAUGAAACAAAAAAACUGCACAAAUCUUUGCUUGUCACAGCCAUCUAUCAUUUUAUGAAACUGAUGCCUGUCCUUCAUUACUCUGAGGUUAAAAGCUUUUGUUCAGCUUGCCUGAGGUUUGAAAAAGAACUGUACUAGCUUUGCUUACCAUACUUCCUACUUUUCAUAAUAUAUAGUAUUAGACUGUAUUUGAACUGAUUACGAGGGGUAUUUUGUGUUUAUCCAAAUGUAAGGAUCAUUUCUUGUAGUAAUGGGCAAGAUGCCUAUUGCAGAAUGCAUAAGGUUUUUACCACAGUCUAAAAUCAUAAAAGUAAAAAUAUAUUGAUUACAAGUUUUCAGAUUUUUUUCCAGGUUACUCGGAUUUGAUUCAUGGCAAAUACUCUUUAUUUUUGUUUUUUUAAACAGGCUCAUUCCCAAGUAUAUAAAUUGUCAAUGGUGGGAAAAUAUAAAGAAAUUUCUUUUAUGUAAAAAAAAAAAACCAUGAUAAAAAGAGAAUCAGCACUCUGUGUUCAAAAAUUAUUUAUGAUAUUUGUUACAGAUUUAUCUCUCUAAUUAUCAUAAUUGGGUUGCCACUUAAGACAAUCUUUGUUUUAAAAAUGUUGUGUAUUGUUAAAAUGUUAUUACCCUGUGCAAGAAAAUUGUUUGAUCUAUUUAUACCUUCUCUUGUGGUAAAAUUAUUCUUAAAUUGUUGUAUUCCUAUACUCUGAAGACAUUUAAAAUAAGUUUUCGUGCCUGUGUAAGUAGACUCUUCAGAAAUUAAUUGAAGAAUUUGUUGUUUCUUUUGACAAAAUACUUAUGUAAAUAUUGGUAGUAUAAAAAUUUUGCAUACCUUUAAGCAUCAACUCUAUGCAUCCAUGUUGGCAAUGGGCAGUAAACUAUGCAAUCUCACAAAAAGUAUUUGUUGUUUAUCUGAAAUUCGAAUUUUACUGGGCAGCCUGAAUUUUUAUUUGCUCAAUCUGGUGACUUUAAAAAGUGGCAAGAACAGUAUUAAUAAUAGUGGCAAGUGUUUCUUAAAUGCUUGCUAAGUACCAG
rnacentral:lncRNA from 1 species